rnacentral:rRNA from 1 species
UACGUAGGGGGCUAGCGUUGUCCGGAAUCAUUGGGCGUAAAGCGCGCGUAGGCGGCCCGGUAAGUCCGUUGUGAAAGUCAAAGGCUCAACCUUUGAAAGCCGAUGGAUACUGCCGGGCUGGAGUCCGGAAGAGGCGAGUGGAAUUCCUGGUGUAGCGGUGGAAUGCGCAGAUAUCAGGAGGAACACCAAUAGCGAAGGCAGCUCGCUGGGACGGUACUGACGCUGAGGCACGAAAGCGUGGGUAGCAAACAGG